rnacentral:misc_RNA from 1 species
CGGCUGCAUACGACUGACUUCCGCGAAAACCUUUACCCCUCAGCUUCCAUGAAAAUUGGAUCACAUCUACACAAGCUCCAUAGUUUACAGCAGAAGCAACGAAAUACACGUCAAAUAAUGGAUGGAAGCAUGAAGAAAGAGGAGGAGAAGGAGAGUGACAGAGAGAAGAAGGUAGUUAAGGGAGAUUGAAUUGAAAUGGAGAGCUGAGAGUUGGGAUUUCGAACGGGUAUG